rnacentral:rRNA from 1 species
UACGUAGGGUGCGAGCGUUGUCCGGAAUUAUUGGGCGUAAAGGGCUCGUAGGCGGUUAGUCACGUCGGGAGUGAAAACUCAGGGCUUAACCCUGAGCCUGCUUCCGAUACGGGCAGACUAGAGGUAUGCAGGGGAGAAUGGAAUUCCUGGUGUAGCGGUGAAAUGCGCAGAUAUCAGGAGGAACACCGGUGGCGAAGGCGGUUCUCUGGGCAUUACCUGACGCUGAGGAGCGAAAGUGUGGGGAGCGAACAGG